rnacentral:rRNA from 1 species
AGGAGGCAGCAGUAAGGAAUCUUGCGCAAUGGGCGAAAGCCUGACGCAGCGACGCCGCGUGGGGGAUGAAUGCCUUCGGGUUGUAAACCCCUUUCGGCAGGGACGAAGCGAACGUGACGGUACCUGCAGAAGAAGCUCCGGCUAACUACGUGCCAGCAGCCGCGGUAAGACGUAGGGAGCGAGCGUUGUCCGGAUUCAUUGGGCGUAAAGCGCGCGUAGGCGGUUUGGUAAGUCGGAUGUGAAAACACGAGGCUCAACCUCGUGCGUGCAUCCGAAACUGCCCGACUAGAGGUAGGUAGGGGAGAUCGGAAUUCCUGGUGUAGCGGUGAAAUGCGCAGAUAUCAGGAGGAACACCGGUGGCGAAGGCGGAUCUCUGGGCCUUACCUGACGCUGAGGCGCGAAAGCUAGGGGAGCGAACAGGAUUAGAAACCCGGGUAGUCCU